rnacentral:rRNA from 1 species
CAAUAGCGUAUAUUAAAGUUGUUGCGGUUAAAAAGCUCGUAGUUGGAUUUCUGCUGAGAACGACCGGUCCGCCCUCUGGGUGUGUAUCUGGCUCUUUCUUGGCAUCUUCUUGGUGAACGUUGCUGCACUUGACUGUGUGGAGCGCUACCCAGGACUUUUACUUUGAGGAAAUUAGAGUGUUUCAAGCAGGCAUACGCCUUGAAUACAUUAGCAUGGAAUAAUAAGAUAGGACCUCGGUUCUAUUUUGUUGGUUUCUAGAGCUGAGGUAAUGAUUAAUAGGGAUAGUUGGGGGCAUUCGUAUUUAACUGUCAGAGGUGAAAUUCUUGGAUUUGUUAAAGGCGGACUACUGCGAAAGCAUUUGCCAAGGAUGUUUNCAUUGA